GCUUUUCAGAAAGACAAGUGCUGUCACAGGAAUUCCCUGAGAGAGAAAAGGAUAUGAACUUGCCUCUCAUAUGCUAGGCUGGACCCUCUUGCUGCGACUUUGGAUGUCUCACCAACAGAGGAACACACCGCGUAGGAUUUCCCACUUGCCAGGACAGGCUCUCCAAAUCCUCGCUGCAACUGGGGCUCCCCAGCGUCUGCGGAUCUGGAUGUUGGUAACGUAUGCAGAAGUACCUGAUUCUGUGAAGACAGAAGUACGUGCAUGGAGCGGUAGAACUGACUGUUUCUGUUCCUUAAAAAGUGCAGGUCAGAGCCUAUGA
rnacentral:lncRNA from 1 species